AGGACGAACGCUGGCGGCGUGCUUAACACAUGCAAGUUGAACGGUAUGACAUGGAAGCUUGCUGAAGUGUCAUAUAGUAGCGGACGGGUGAGUAAUGCAUGAGAAGCUGCCAUUGGGAGGGGGACAACAGUUGGAAACGGCUGCUAAUACCCCGUAUGCCGGAAGGUGAAAGGGAGCGAUCCGCCCGAUGAGGUGCUCAUGUCCUAUCAGCUGGUUGGUGGGGUAACGGCCUACCAAGGCGACGACGGGUAGCCGGCCUGAGAGGGUGAACGGCCACACUGGAACUGAGAUACGGUCCAGACUCCUACGGGAGGCAGCAGUGGGGAAUAUUGGGCAAUGGGGGGCAACCCUGACCCAGCGACGCCGCGUGGGGGAAGACGGCCUUCGGGUUGUAAACCUCUUUUGUACGGGAAGAAGGAAGUGACGGUACUGUACGAAUAAGUCCCGGCUAACUACGUGCCAGCAGCAGC
rnacentral:rRNA from 1 species